CGUCGAACCCGAACCCGGAACCGCUCCACGCUCGCUCGCCCGAACCCGAACCCACGUCCGUGCCCACACGUGCCCAGCCCUCUCCGCGUGCAAGCCGCGCCGCGUCGCCUGCACUGCAAGCUGAGCCGCGCCUCCUUGCUGUCGCAAGCCGAGCCGCACGCGCAAGAUCCCUGCGCCAAGCCGAGCCGAGCCAGUCCCUGUUCUCUUUCCAGCCGAGCCGCCAAGCCUAAUUUGGCUCCUUCCAUCCAAUUUUUGGUAAUUAAAUUAAUUAUUUUGGCAUUACCCAGUAAGACUCAAUGUUUUUGGACACUAAAUAAUUUAAUUUGGAAUUAAAUUAAAUUAUUUUCCUUAAGGGACGUCUUGGACCAAGUAACUGCUGCAGCGUGGGAUUUCUUCAGUAGGGGCUCAGCAUUGCAACCUCUUUCUAGGUUAGGACCUCGUUGCUUGGAAAGCACACUUGCCUCGCGGUUAGAACUCGCCAAGUAAAUCUCCAAGUAGAGGACGAGGUAAGGGCAAAGGCAAGCUGGCAAGCGACCAGAAGUGACCGUGGCGAGCCAUAGGGAUUUUUGCUUCCGCUCAUUCUUGUUUUUGACUUUAGUACCUGAGUUUGAGUAUUUUUCACUAUUUACCAUUUUUUUAAAGUAGAUAGGG